rnacentral:lncRNA from 1 species
GCAACAGCUCAACCUGCAGAUCAGUUGCCAACACAAUAGGCACCAUGCUCCCAGCAUUCACUUGGGUCACCUCCCCCCAACCCUAACCUUUACUUGUGUAACGUCCUUUUCCAUAUAAAUAAGGCGAACACCCCUUCCUCACUCUCUCUUUCCCCUCUUCUCUCUCUCUCUCUCUCUCUCUCUCUCUCUCUCUCUCUCUCUCUCUCUCUCUCUCUCUGCUACUACUUUCUCUCUCCCUUCCAAUCAAACCUCUUCCAUGUGGAACUGCUUUGGCCUAGUGUGCUGUUGAGAUUCGACCUGCCAUUCUAACACAUUACUAAGGACAAGAGUGUCCACGUGAGAAGCACAGAUAGAAGCAUGCAUGGUGUUCCCCUAGGCUCUCCGACAGACCCAACAUGAGGCACAAGAACUCCAGUCUCCUUAUUACAGAGAAGAAAAUCACAUUGAAGGACUGUACACAACACCCUCAUGUUAAAUGCUAAAAGGACACUGUUCUGGGUUAUCUACCUUACUAACCUUGCUACUAGACAGGUCUCUCUCCAUCUCUAGCAUAAGGAAUUCAGAGCCUGUCCUGUUCAUGAGUGUGCUUCCCGAUCUCCACCCAAUUCCCAUUGUGUCACCAGCAGCUGACACAAAGCCAGCUGGCUUCCAACUGAACCACUUUAAACCCAGCCUGCACCACAUUGCCAAGGUCUACAGGAAACCUCCAGGCCUGCAAAAACAGCCAUCCCUGUAAGCCCCUGGCUCCUGGAACUCCCACUGCCAGCCAAACAGUCUACACCCAUCAGUCUGUGGCUGGUCUCUCUCUGCAGUCACCAAACAA